AACGACUCUCGGCAACGGAUAUCUCGGCUCUCGCAUCGAUGAAGAACGUAGCGAAAUGCGAUACCUGGUGUGAAUUGCAGAAUCCCGCGAACCAUCGAGUCUUUGAACGCAAGUUGCGCCCAAGGCCAUCCGGUCGAGGGCACGCCUGCCUGGGCGUCACGCCAU
rnacentral:rRNA from 1 species